rnacentral:rRNA from 1 species
AACUCUCCCCAGGUCACCCAUCAUGUUGUCGUGGUAGAGGGACAGUGCGGCGACCCUUCAUCUAUCUUAAGGACUAGCUAUGUCCGGAUUCCCGAUCCCUCCAAGCCGGAUACCCACGGAGGGGAGGACAUCACUCAGGACCUGAACUUAAAGUCAGGCGACGGGCUAGAUUCAUUGGACAUCAUCCAAGAAUCCAAACUUCCGAGUUCGGAAACUCCUUGGCCCCUGGGUCUCAGAUUGGGUGAGGUUUCGGAUUUGAUUCCACCCACCCACCCGUACAUAAGCGAUCUAUCCCAAAUUAGGCAAGAGCCCAAAGAAACAGUACAUCAUUACUGGGCCAGAUUCCUCCUAGUUAUGAACAAGAUAAAGGACUGCCGCGAGGAAGACGCAAUUUCAUUCUUCUGCAAUAAUUACACGGACAAGGGAAUCCUCAAUGCCAUAAGUCGCCGUGAUAUUACACGCUUCGCUGACUUGGCGUCCAUAGUACGAAAGUACUGUGCGAUGGAAAGCGCCUGGAAAACCGAAAUAAAAUUUUGGGACAAUCCGGCCUUGAAUACAAACCCAGUCCGAAAUAAAAGGGUGCAUCAUCGCCAGACACCCGGGUUCAAUACCAAAAUGCAAAAGCCCUCUACAGGGCACGAAACC